CUGUGGCCUGAUCGGAUCAGGGAUCGAAUCAGGAUGUUGCUGUCGAAGCGGCCAUCCCAAUCGAUGUGAAUC
rnacentral:tRNA from 1 species